rnacentral:lncRNA from 1 species
CCCUGAUUUUAUGAUAGGGUUUGCGUUGCUCGGUCUUUAAUUUAGUAUUCUAUGUAGUGUUUAGUGUUUCGUAGUCAUUGAGCGUUUUUUUUUUAUAUAUUUUUUCCAUGACGUUGUGAUUUUUUUUUCUGCUUUCUUUUAUUUUUGUAGUUCAAAUUUUGAAAUAUUUGUCAUCUUUACCGUUCUUCUAUGUAUUUUAUUUCUCAUUUUCACACCUGGCAGUUUAUCAUAACUAUAUGACAAAUUGUUUUUUAUUCGUUUUGUAUAUUGUUUUCAUUAGCAAUAUAAUGAGAAUUGUGGCCUUUUCUCACUCAAUAUGACAUCUCACCUAUCUCAUAUAUUUUUAAGAUAUAUUCCUGCUGUUAGGAUCGAAAUAGAUUACUUAAAUAAUAAUUACGUAUUCUUAAAUCUCGCAAACUGUACUAAUGAGAAGUCAACACAUUUUUGACAUUUUAUUGGCGUAUAUAACCAAAAUAAGUAAAACGUG